ensembl:lncRNA
UGCACGUGCACCUGAGAAUUGGUGUGCGUGUCUCUCAGAGGAGUCUUUUCAAAAUAAAAGCAUAACUAAGGGGAAGUUCAUAGACAUUUUCCAACCUGUGAACUUACGAAGUUUGGUUAGCCAAACACUCACAUUGUGAAGACUGUGAAUGGAAUAGAAGCAAACCCAGUUUCAAGGAUUAUUGUAAAAAAAUCAGCAUCAGGAAAAGAAACUGACGAGGAACUGAGAGGGCCCUCCAACUACUCAUCUUCUUCCAUGGUCUUAAUUUCCAUCUGUAAGAACUGCAACCAAGGGCAUCUUGUAGAGUUUGGUAUUCCCAUCUCAAAUCGAUGACAAGAGUUGCCAACUGAAGCUGUCACGGAAGUUGGACCUAAUGUGUACCCUUGCACUUUUAGCUUACACUUGAUCUCAUUCAUCACUUACAGGAGGGACAACAAGAAGGUCAGUGGAUGCUUGAAAAAGCAGUGCAGUGGUAAGGUCAACUUGAAUGCCUUUCUUGCA